CAAUAGCGUAUAUUAAACUUGCUGCGGCUAAAAAGCUCGUAGUUGGAUUUCUGCCGAGGACGACCGGUCCGCCCUCUGGGUGAGUAUCUGGUUCGGCCUGGGCAUCUUCUUGGAGAGCGUAGCUUCACUCGACUGUGUGGUGCGGUAUCCAGGACUUUUACUUUGAGAAAGUUAGAGUAUUUCAAGCAGGCUUUCGCCUUGAAUACAUUAGCAUCGACGAAUAAGAUAGGACCUCGGUUGUGUUUUGUUUGCUUCUAGAGCUGAGGUAAUGAUGAAUAGGGACUGUUGAGGGCAUGCGCAUUCAGCUGUCAGAGGUGAAACUCUUGGAUUUGUUAAAGACGGACUAUUGCGAAAGCAUUUGCCAAGGAUGUUUCCAUUGA
rnacentral:rRNA from 1 species